rnacentral:rRNA from 1 species
UACGUGAGGGGCGAACGUUGUUCGGUGUCACUGGGCUUAAAGGGUGCGUAGGUGGUUGUGUAAGUAACGUGUGAAAUCCCUCGGCUUACCCGGGGAAUUGCAUGUUAUACUGCAUGACUUGAGGACUAAAGGGGAAAAGGGAACUCCAGGUGUAGCGGUGAAAUGCGCAGAUAUCUGGGGGAAGGCCGGCGGCGAAGGCGCUUUUCUGGUUAGUACCUGACACUGAGGCACGAAAGCGUGGGGAGCAAACAGG